UGGGGAAUAUUGGACAAUGGGCGCAAGCCUGAUCCAGCCAUACCGCGUGGGUGAAGAAGGCCUUCGGGUUGUAAAGCCCUUUUGUUGGGAAAGAAAUCCAGCUGGCUAAUACCCGGUUGGGAUGACGGUACCCAAAGAAUAAGCACCGGCUAACUUCGUGCCAGCAGCCGCGGUAAUACGAAGGGUGCAAGCGUUACUCGGAAUUACUGGGCGUAAAGCGUGCGUAGGUGGUCGUUUAAGUCCGUUGUGAAAGCCCUGGGCUCAACCUGGGAACUGCAGUGGAUACUGGGCGACUAGAAUGUGGUAGAGGGUGGCGGAAUUCCUGGUGUAGCAGUGAAAUGCGUAGAGAUCAGGAGGAACAUCCAUGGCGAAGGCAGCUACCUGGACCAACAUUGACACUGAGGCACGAAAGCGUGGGGAGCAAACAGGAUUAGAUACCCUGGUAGUCCACGCCCUAAACGAUGCGAACUGGAUGUUGGGUGCAAUUUGGCACGCAGUAUCGAAGCUAACGCGUUAAGUUCGCCGCCUGGGGAGUACGGUCGCAAGACUG
rnacentral:rRNA from 1 species